GGAGGAGAGGGGUAGGGAAGAGAGCCUUCCUCCUACAUUUCUGGCCUCCCUGGUGAAAGACCUUGGGUCCCAACAGGCUCAAAUACCCCACAGAGCCAGCACCCCCCACCCGAAGGCCUGGUUCUGGGCACCUGAAUGAGUGUGUAGCCAGCGUGGGAAAGCUGGAGUAGGCAGCCAUCAUCUCAUUCUCCUUAGACCUGGUGGGUAUGCCCUGGCCCUGCCCAUCAAGCUUGCAGCCCUCAAAAGCCCUCUGUUGGUAGGUGGGACCCAAGCAGCCCUCGGCCCAAGAGGAUGGGGGCUGUGAGCAGCUCCGGUUUGGCCUGGGCACCUCCUCUCCCCAGGACUCCAGCCAGCCCGACCAGGAGACCUCCAGAGGCGCCAGCUCACACAGAGGGAACUUUGUGAGGCCCUGGGAGGCAUGUGCAGGCUCUGUGCAUCCAGGGCUGUGUGUCUCCAUGAGGGGCUGCCUCUCUGAGUCAGGCCAGUGAUUGUCACCUAUUCUGAUCCCGGCCCUCUUCUCAUCGCGCUCUACAUGCUCUCCUUGGAGGAUCACAUCCUUGAAGUUAUCAUGAAGACUCCCAGUGCGCCCAAGUCUAGCCUUAACUUCUCUCUGGAAUCCUAGACUCAUAUAACUAAGUGCCUACUGGAAUUGGGGCGGUAUUGAUUCCUGGUUCACUUACUAACUUUGUGAUUGAGAAGUUAUUUAAUCUCUCUUAGCCUCAGCUUUGUCAUCUGUAAAAUGGUGGUAAUAAUAGCUA